UGAAGGGAUGGAUAGAAAUGGAUGAUUUGUGAGACAGUCCAACUCUGAUUCAGAGCCCCUCAAAGAGGUACAAGAGAAGACUGUUGAAAACCAAAGACAUAAUAACAAAACCACCACAACAAUAACAACAACAAACAAAACAAAAACGAAAACAAAAUCCAAAACCCUUCCUGUGUUUCAGAGGGUAAGUGUAUGUGAGAACUUUAUUUACACUUAUUAUUAUCCCUACA
rnacentral:lncRNA from 1 species